rnacentral:rRNA from 1 species
UACGUAGGGUGCGAGCGUUGUCCGGAAUUAUUGGGCGUAAAGAGCUCGUAGGCGGUGUGUCACGUCGUUCGUGAAAACCUGCAGCUUAACUGUGGGCGUGCGGUCGAUACGGGCAUCACUGGAGUUCGGCAGGGGAGACUGGAAUUCCUGGUGUAGCGGUGAAAUGCGCAGAUAUCAGGAGGAACACCGGUGGCGAAGGCGGGUCUCUGGGCCGAUACUGACGCUGAGGUGCGAAAGCGUGGGGAGCAAACAGG